GAAAGCCGUGUGAGGGAGAACCUCAUGCACGGUUUGAUGAGGGGCGGAUGAAAUUUUCAUCCGCCUACUCUAC
rnacentral:ncRNA from 2 species